rnacentral:rRNA from 1 species
UACAGAGGUCCCAAGCGUUGUUCGGAUUCACUGGGCGUAAAGGGUGCGUAGGUGGUGAGGUAAGUCGGAUGUGAAAGCUCGGAGCUACAACGUCCGAAAUGGCAUUGGGAAACUACCUUGCUCGAGGGUUGGAGGGGGGACUGGAAUACUUGGGUGUAGCAGUGAAAUGCGUAGAUAAUCAAGUGGAACACCAGUGGCGA